rnacentral:rRNA from 1 species
GUUAUAGGGUCAAGCGAACAAGUGCAUGUGGUGGAUGCCUUGGCGAUCACAGGCGAUGAAGGACGCGGUAGCCUGCGAAAAGCGACGGGGAGCUGGCAAACGAGCUUUGAUCCGUCGAUGUCCGAAUGGGGAAACCCACCUCUUUUGAGGUAUCCGUGACUGAAUACAUAGGUCACGAGAAGCGAACGCGGUGAACUGAAACAUCUAAGUAACCGCAGGAAAAGAAAUCAACCGAGAUUCCCAGAGUAGUGGCGAGCGAAAUGGGACCAGCCUG